CAAACUCAUGGAAAUUUUGAACAGAGAGGAGGCAGAGUGUUUUGACAGUUUGUGUUCCAGCCACACACCAUCCAAUCCCUUGCUGGUCUCGAAUCCCUCUUGACACAAGAAACCAAGAAUCCAAAUUCAGAGAGGAGAAAUCAGUAGCCACUAAAAGCCAAUCAGUAUACAAUCUGUUGUUGAAGGUUGAGUGCGACGAGCAAUUGGUGGUGUUGAGCAAAUAAAAAUUUUAAGUUUUGUUUGGUUGUCCUUGAACUUUGGUGUCGUGUCUUCAUACAUGACCCACUCUUUCUCUUGAACGCUUCCGCUAAGAUAUUGUUUUUACUUGUUAUUUAUUUGGCUUGAACCUUAUUUAUUCUGAAUCAUGAAAACUUGAUAUUCUUUUUGGAUAA